GAUGAGAUUUCCCAACUUCGGUUAUAAGAUCCCUCAAAGAUGAUGAGGUUAAUAGGUUCGAGGUGGAAGCAUGGUGACAUGUGGAGCUGACGAAUACUAAUCGAUCGAAGACUUAAUCAA
rnacentral:rRNA from 1 species